rnacentral:rRNA from 1 species
GAUGAACGCUGGCGGCGUGCCUAAUACAUGCAAGUCGAGCGAACAGACGAGGAGCUUGCUCCUCUGACGUUAGCGGCGGACGGGUGAGUAACACGUGGAUAACCUACCUAUAAGACUGGGAUAACUUCGGGAAACCGGAGCUAAUACCGGAUAACAUGUUGAACCGCAUGGUUCAACAGUGAAAGACGGUCUUGCUGUCACUUAUAGAUGGAUCCGCGCCGCAUUAGCUAGUUGGUAAGGUAACGGCUUACCAAGGCAACGAUGCGUAGCCGACCUGAGAGAGUGAUCGGCCACACUGGAACUGAGACACGGUCCAGACUCCUACGGGAGGCAGCAGUAGGGAAUCUUCCGCAAUGGGCGAAAGCCUGACGGAGCAGCGCCGCGUGAGUGAAGAAGGUCUUCGGAUCGUAAAACGCUGUUAUUAGGGAAGAACAAAUGUGUAAGUAACUAUGCACGUCUUGACGGUACCUAAUCAGAAAGCCACGGCUAACUACGUG